CUAUAGACCCUUUGCACUGACGUCACAAAUCCUUAGAGUGUCCUCCAGAUGCUCCCUAACAAUAUCUGUUCGGGUACAACAACCACAUACAGCGAAAAAAUUAACCAUUUUAAUACAAAAUUAUUAUAAACUUUUACAAAAUUUGCUUUGUUUACAAAAGUUAUAUUAUGCAUAGAUUGUUAAUUUGUCCUCCAGAUCACAUCGUUACUGGCGCUGUGACGUCAAGUGCAUGCAAUGGGUCUAUAUACUACAACUACAAAUAAAGUUUUACUAUAUACUACUACUACAAAUAAAGUUUUACUAUAUACUAUUGACUACACACCUUCAAAGUUCCAGCAUUUCAAAUAAAUAUAGCCAUAUAAGUUUGAUAAAAUGGUAGCUGUUUAUAUAUUUUCAAAUAUUUUUAAAUUGAGGCCUGAGGGAGUAAGGUAUACUGAUACCACUCGUGAUUAUGAACUUUAUCUACAGUGAAAUUAAAACAUAUAAAAUUACCACAAAGUAUUAAAAAUAAUAAAUUUAAAAAAAUGGAUAUAAAUAACAAAAGAAGACAAAAUAGAGUGAGAUUUUUCUACAGCUGAUUAUCGUUCUCAAAAAGAUUCGAAGAUAAUGUCGAUAAUGUAACAAUAGUCAAUGGACAACUUGCAUGUUAGACUAAAUUUUAAUCUAAGUAUAAAGAAAAGGGAAUCAAAAACCACAGCUAGCGCUAAAAAGAACAUGAUGAAAUUAGUAAAAUUGCAAAAUGUGGUUGCGAAAUGUUGUAAAGCUUGGUUGCAAAAGUUUGCAAAUUUUGUAUAUGUUUGUGUUACAUGCGG